UACGUAGGGUGCGAGCGUUGUCCGGAAUUAUUGGGCGUAAAGAGCUCGUAGGCGGCUUGUUGCGUCGACCGUGAAAACCCGUGGCUUAACUGCGGGCUUGCGGUCGAUACGGGCGGGCUGGAGUUCGGUAGGGGAGACUGGAAUUCCUGGUGUAGCGGUGAAAUGCGCAGAUAUCAGGAGGAACACCGGUGGCGAAGGCGGGUCUCUGGGCCGAUACUGACGCUGAGGAGCGAAAGCGUGGGGAGCGAACAGG
rnacentral:rRNA from 1 species